AUUGGAAGUAAAAGUCGUAACAAGGUCUCCGUUGGUGAACCAGCGGAGGGAUCAUUACCGAGUUUACAACUCCCAAACCCAAUGUGAACGUUACCAAACUGUUGCCUCGGCGGGAUCUCUGCCCCGGGUGCGUCGCAGCCCCGGACCAAGGCGCCCGCCGGAGGACCAACCAAAACUCUUAUUGUAUACCCCCUCGCGGGUUUUUUUUAUAAUCUGAGCCUUCUCGGCGCCUCUCGUAGGCGUUUCGAAAAUGAAUCAAAACUUUCAACAACGGAUCUCUUGGUUCUGGCAUCGAUGAAGAACGCAGCGAAAUGCGAUAAGUAAUGUGAAUUGCAGAAUUCAGUGAAUCAUCGAAUCUUUGAACGCACAUUGCGCCCGCCAGUAUUCUGGCGGGCAUGCCUGUCCGAGCGUCAUUUCAACCCUCGAACCCCUCCGGGGGGUCGGCGUUGGGGAUCGGCUCUGCCUUGGCGGUGGCCGUCUCCGAAAUACAGUGGCGGUCUCGCCGCAGCCUCUCCUGCGCAGUAGUUUGCACACUCGCAUCGGGAGCGCGGCGCGUCCACAGCCGUUAAACACCCAACUUCUGAAAUGUUGACCUCGGAUCAGGUAGGAAUACCCGCUGAACUUAAGCAUAUCAAUAAGCGGAGGAAAUC
rnacentral:rRNA from 1 species